GAGUUUGAUCGUGGCUCAGAUUGAACGCUGGCGGCAUGCCUUACACAUGCAAGUCGAACGGCAGCAUGAUCUAGCUUGCUAGAUUGAUGGCGAGUGGCGAACGGGUGAGUAAUACAUCGGAACGUGCCCUGUAGUGGGGGAUAACUAGUCGAAAGAUUAGCUAAUACCGCAUACGACCUGAGGGUGAAAGUGGGGGACCGCAAGGCCUCAUGCUAUAGGAGCGGCCGAUGUCUGAUUAGCUAGUUGGUGGGGUAAAGGCCCACCAAGGCGACGAUCAGUAGCUGGUCUGAGAGGACGAUCAGCCACACUGGGACUGAGACACGGCCCAGGACUCCUACGGGAGGCAGCAGUGGGGAAUUUUGGACAAUGGGCGAAAGCCUGAUCCAGCAAUGCCGCGUGUGUG
rnacentral:rRNA from 1 species